rnacentral:rRNA from 1 species
CCCUUAGAUGUUCUGGGCUGCACGCGCGCUACACUGAUGCACUCAACGAGUUUACGACUUUGCCCGAGAGGGUUGAGUAAUCUUUUUAAAAUGCAUCGUGAUGGGGAUAGAUUAUUGCAAUUAUUAAUCUUCAACGAGGAAUUCCUAGUAAACGCAAGUCAUCAGCUUGCAUUGAUUACGUCCCUGCCCUUUGUACACACCGCCCGUCGCACCUACCGAUUGAAUGGUCCGGUGAAAUCUCGGGACGGCGGCUUGGUCGCUUGCGUCCGACUGCUGAAACUUGAUUAAACCAUAUCAUUUAGAGGAAGGUGAAGUCGUAACA